CCUACGGGUGGCAGCAGUGAGGAAUAUUGGUCAAUGGACGAGAGUCUGAACCAGCCAAGUCGCGUGAAGGAUGACGGCCCUAUGGGUUGUAAACUUCUUUUAUAUGGGAAUAAAAUGUUCCACGUGUGGGAUUUUGUAUGUACCAUAUGAAUAAGGAUCGGCUAAAUCCGUGCCAGCAGCCGCGGUAAUACGGAGGAUCCGAGCGUUAUCCGGAUUUAUUGGGUUUAAAGGGAGCGUAGGUGGAUUGUUAAGUUAGUUGUGAAAGUUUGCGGAUCAACCGUAAAAUUGCAGUUGAAACUGGCAGUCUAGAGUAGAGUAGAGGUGGGCGGAAUGUGUGGUGUAGCGGUGAAAUGCUUAGAGAUCAUGAAGAACUCCGAUUGCGAAGGCAGUUCACUGGACUGUAACUGACACUGAGGCUCGAAAGUGUGGGUAGCAAACAGGAUUAGAUACCCGGGUAGUC
rnacentral:rRNA from 1 species